AAUUCUUGGGAAGGAUAUUGCUAUUGUCAACUUCAAAUGAGCAUAUCUCUCACUGUACUACAAAUUUUUGAUCUCAUCACACACAAAAAGAUAGAUAACUAAAUUAUAUUUUCAAUGAUACCAUAUUUCGCCAAUAUCCAAUAUCAGAGCAAAACAUUAUACCCAUUCUACUCCAACAUAUCAUCCUCGAAACUGAGUGACGACCUUUCUGAUAGCUUAUCACAUUUCUAACGACCUG
rnacentral:lncRNA from 1 species